UGAUCACUGACCUCUCUAAAGUGACUGAGAACACAGGAUCUCACCAUGAGAUGGAGCCAGAUCAUCCUCUUUCUAGGGGCAGCAACUACAGGUGUUCUCUCCCAGGUUCAGCUGCAGCAGUCUGGGGCUGAGCUAGUGAAGCCUGGUUCCUCAGUAAAGGUGUCCUGUAAGGCCUCUGGCUACACCUUUGCUUACAGCUAUAUGCACUGGGUAAAGCAGAGACCUGGACAAGGUCUUGAGUGGAUUGGAUGGAUUUAUCCUGGAGAUGGUGAUACUGAGUACAACGAAAAGUUCAAGGGCAAGGCAACACUGACUGCAGACACAUCCUCCAGCACAGCCUAUAUGCAGUUCAGCAGCCUGACAUCAGAGGAUUCUGCGGUUUAUUACUGUGCAAAACACACAGUGUUGAAACCACAUCCUUAG